AUGCAUGUCUGACAGCCCUGGAGCAGUUAAUGUCUGCUGCCAAGGUUUCCACUACAGACGCAAGAAAAAGAAGUCCUCGCACUGUCUGUCUGUCUGGUUGUGGCAGCCAAGACUGAAUGGGAGAACACAGGA
rnacentral:snoRNA from 1 species